UUGAGGGCAAGUUUUGAACAAGUCAUAAACUUUUGGAUAUUCAUAACUUAUGAGUUUUAAUUAAGUGUUUAAAACUUUUAAUGAAGAGUCUCUUGGAAAUCCAUAACUUGAGGACAAGUUAUGAAGUCCAUAAAAGCAUUUAUGGGAAAAACUCUUCAAGAAAAUGUAACCUACAACUUCUUAAAAACAUUUAAAAGAAAAACUCUUGGAAUUCCAUAACUUGAGGACAAAUUAAGAAUUCCAUUAAAACACAUUAAGAUCAAGAAUUAACUAACAAACAAUUUGCAAAUAAUUCCUAUGAUCUAACAAAACUCAUAUGAACAUGAACAUCCACAUCAACAAUUUCAAGAAUCAUAUGAACACAUAUAAACUUGAAAUUUUGAUUAUAACUUUGAAAUUGGUCCACCAUCAUCAUUACCACAUCAAAAACAGGUUUUAUGAGUCCAAAACAGUUUAAGGUAAUGAUUCUAGACCAAUUCCAGCACCAAAACUCGAAGAUAUGCUGUCUGGGGGUCCAACUCGUCGAGUGCAUGAACCAACUCGCCGAGUUGGAUGAAUUUUGUCUUGGACUCGUCGAGUCCCUUCAUGGACUCGGCGAGUCUGCUGUGCAGACAGCACAUAAACUUCGAUUUUCAGCAAUUUGCAUCAAGUAUUCAAGAAAACAAGCCUAGGCUCUGAUACCACUGUUGGGUUUUGAGCAAUCUAACACUUCCUAAGUGUGCAUGCAACCCUAAUAAACCUUGGAUCUAUGUUUUCUUCUAAAAUACAUGCAAAUAAUAAUUUCCAAGGUUUCUUCCUAACUAGCAUAGCAUAAGGAUUAUGAAUCAUAAAAGUACUAGUAGAAAUACAUACCUUUUGAUGAUGGUUGAUUGUUUGGAGUUUGAGAGCCAAGGACCAAUAGUGUGAAUGCCUCAAAUGGAAUCACAAAUCACCACAAACACUUGGAAAACUUUGAGAGAGUGUAUACACACAUAGAAAAUCGGCCACACACACAAAACCACACUAGUGGCUAUUUCAUGCAACAUAAGCAUGGUUAUAUAGUGUGCAUGGUUAGGGUGAAACCCUAAUAACCCAUGACCUUUCCUUUUCCAAGGAUCCAUGGGUUAAAAGCUCCAUGGAUCAUCCAUGGACUUCCAUAUAAGCCUAGCCCAUUAACAAAUGAGUGUUAGCCCACACCAUAUAAAACAAUAGCCCACAAUUUAAUUAGUCUUCCUUUUAAUCUCUAAAUUAAUUCAUAAUUAAUUUAAGACUAAGACUAAUUAAAUAACUUCAUAUUAAUAUAUUAUAACUUACAAUAUAUUAAUAAACAUAUGUGUAUAACUCUCAUAAAAUUAUCCAUAAAUAGUUCGGGUGAAGUGCAACCCAAAUGGACCAUGCCAGGCCGGGUCAAGUAUGUACCAAAUAAGUUAUGGACUUAGACACCUUAUCCAACACCAGUUGGGGUCACGAGGCUCGAAAAGGAGGCGAAGGUGAUGUGAUGUUGAGGAUUGCAGUCUGAAUAGAGUGGUCGGCCAAUGGUUGUGAUGCCACUUUCUAUGACGUGAAUUACACUAUUUUCUCUUCCCAUGUGGAAUGAAAGGGAUAAGGAGCUUCCCGUUUUAGACUUUGGAGGUAAACCCCAUGGGGUAGCAUAUAGAUGUAAUAUUUUUUGCCAGAGUAUUUUGUAAUAUGUCUGUUGCGAGGUAUUCCUUAUACUGUAAGAGAGUCAUCAGUGAGGACUGAGAUGGAUGAGGACAAGGAUAUGCCUUAGUUGAGUAUCGUAAGGCAUAUUUUAGCAACAGUUCCAGGUAAUCAAGAGGAGUAUACUGGGGCGACGAACCUAGGAGUCUAUGUUAUGUAUCAACUAUGAGAGUGAGGUCUCUUGCUUCUAUGAUGAUUCACGCGAUGGAAAGUUGGUUCAAGAAUCGGAUAUGAGUUGUGUGUGAUAGCCCAUUAUUUCCAUAUUAAGAGUCGUAACUAAUUCAGGACAGUCGAGAUGUCUGUUGGUGUGUUGAUAUCAGAUUUUUGAUGAUUCGAGGCAAUAACAUUGAGAGGUUUCUAGGGUUACCAUAUGAGAUCCGGAAUACUUAGAGUUCUUGGGCUUAUUCUGAAAGGUCUUCGAGUGUUGUGUGGUACGUCCCAAGAGUCGAGUAUGGUAUAGUUGGGGAGCCCGUUGUAGUGAGGUCUAUGGUUAUGUCAACUAGUGAUGGUUCAAACCCUCAAUGGGGGAGAACCGAGUAAUCUGUGGAGGAUCAACAAUCUAAUUGAUUUGUGGUGGAAAUGAAUGGGUUGUGGGGAUAUACGAUCCGGUUAUAUGAGGCUUGGGUCUUGUGGUAGUCAAGGCAUAGUACACGACGAGAUGAUGCAUGUUGUAUGUGCCCAGGUGAGAUUGAGUGUCUUCACAACAAGUAGACGUUGGAUAGGGGUCUUAUUGUGGUCAGUGUGUCUUCAGGAUUCCCAAUGUUCGAGUUUCGAGGCGGUUGGGUCAUUGAGGUCAAGUUUCGAUUGCUGAGAGAUUGAUAGUGUGACAUAUAGAUUGUUCCGGGAAGGGAAACAAUUGAUUUGUCAAUCAACUUCAGAGUCUGUAUGAGUAGUUUCGUAUGGGUUUUGGUUAGUAGAGGAGGGGGUUUUGGAUUGUUUUCAACAUGCUCUAAGUCAUUAAUGAUUCCUCCAUGCUUCAAAUUAUGAGUUUGAGUACUUCAAGGUUUCAAGUUGUUUAAGUGGAUGAUCAGGGGUCGUGGAAAGCUAUCGUGAGAUUAUGUGACAGCGUAUCGAGGUAUCUGAGUAUGAUGACCUAAAUUGUUGGAUUAUUAUGAGACUUGGGAUUUUCAGAUGGCAAAUGGAUCAUCAAGUGACUAUAUUUCCUGUUGUGAAACCAGCAGUUAAUUGUCUUCAGGAGUAGUGAAGCUUAAUCUGGGUGGGUGUGCGCACCUAUAUUUGUUGGGUCGCAGAGCAUGGGUUUAAUGAACUAAGUAUAGUGAUGGCUUGAUGAUGACAUUGUUGGGUGAUAAGAGACUGGAUGGAUCCAAGUGGGUGUAGUCACUUAGGACUGUCAGGGAAAACCGUAAAGUGAGCCCAUGGUGAGUGAGAGAGUGUUAUAAGAUUACGGGGAGUCAUAGCAUUCAGUAGUCAGUGAGAGAGUAUUGGAAGAAUUUGGGGAGCCGUAGCACUCAUUAGUCAGUGAGAUUGUUGUAAGGCUAGUGGGAGCUGUAGUACUCAUUAGUCAGUGAGAGAAAUUUUGUAAGAGUGUGGGGUGUUAUAGCACUCAAUAGUCAGUAAGAGAGUGAUGUAAGACAGCGGGGAGCCAUAACACUCAUUAGUCAUUGUGGAAGUGUUGUAAUUCCGCAGGGCGCCAUAACAUUCACUAGUCAGAGUGUAACGUAGAGGGGUCCUUAGUCCUGGGUAGCCUUAAAAAUUGAGUCUUUGGGAACUUGGUGGGUGGACUAGGGGCAAGACUGGAGUCUUAGUGAUGGUCGGGAACCGUUAUGUAUUGAGUUAGGGAGGGUUUGUUGCAAAUCGAAAAGAUCGAGGUGUAAUGCAUGCGUAGAUUCAUAUAACACAGGUCAUGAGUUGAGUAUCAGAUUGGAUAAAAGUUGUUCCAGUUUUGUUGUCGGACCAAACUCUUGUGUUUCAGUUUAACUCUAUUUGUGCAGAGAAUAGAUUGGUUGAGAUUAUGGAUUUUCAGAUGGGAUACAUUAUGAGUGGCUAUGAUUUCCAUCUGAUGUUUUAGACCUAGGUGGGUCGGUUCAAUUGGCUUAAGGAGGACCACCACACAUGUGGGAUCAACAAGCAAUAGAUAAUGGAGGUCGGAGAUGAUGUGAGUCUGCAGAUCAGUUAGAAUAUUCACUUGGGGUAAAGCGAACAUGGAGAUUGCAUGUACAAUGUGAAUGGUUGAGAUAGCUCGGUUGGAUCGAAUGACUGUGGAGUGAUAUUGUUAGAUGUGCUCGGGUGGCAUUGGCAGUCCAACUGCUCAAUCGAGAGUUGAUCUUGCAUUCGGAUCUAAUGUUCAGCAUUGGAAAGUAGCUAGAGUUAUAUUUCGGAUAUCAAGGGAUAGUUCUGGUUGGGCAUGGUCAUCCAGUUCGGGGUCGGAGCUGAAUCGUCCUGGGAUUGAUACUGGGAUGGUCCAGUCUGGUGAGAGGUUAGACCUAAUGUAGGUCUUCUGUCCCAUGUAGAUCGGCAGGUUUUCAUUCAGAGUUUGAGGGAACAGCAAGCGGACGAUUCAUACAUUCGAGAACAUGCUACGCACAUGUGUUAUGGACUUUAGUUGGAGUUGGGAUUCCUACCUGCCCUUGGCUGAGUUUUCAUACAACAACAACCAUCACUCUAGCAUUCGGAUGCCUCCCUUUGAGCUUUUUUAUACGGGAGGAGGUGUUGGAGUCCCAUCUGUUGGGGGAGGUCGGGCAGAUAAUGAUGGGGAGCACUAUGAUAGUGCUCAAGAUGGCAGAGCAAAUCUAGCAGGUUAGACCGAGGUUGCUGAUGGCCCAGAGUCGGCAGAAGAGCUACGUAGAUCAGAGAUGACCUGAGCUAUAGUUCUAGGUUAGCGAUUUUGUCCUCCUGAAGGUAUCACCAUGGAAAAGGGUGAGUCAAUUUAGGAAAAGGGGCAUGUUGGGCCCUAGAUACUGUUGGGUUUUGUGCACUAUAACACUCCUAUGGUGCACAUACAACCCUAAUGCUUUGGAAUUAAGUUUUCUCUAGUUAUACAUGCAACAAAAUUAUCCAAAGCAUGAAACCUAUAACUAGCAAACGACAUAGAUAUUUGAAACAUAAAAAUGUAACAUCCCCAAAUUCAGGUAAAGCUAUUUAAGCCUUCCAUUUUGUCAAGUUGUCAAGAUUGGUCCCUUCAGAGAGUUCUUGUAGAAAAGUAGUACGGUGGACAUACUCGGGAGUACGCUGCGCGUACUCAUGCACUUAAUUUGGACGUGGACUCGCCUGGGUACGCUGUGCGUAACGGGUCCAGAUGCAAACCCUAAAUGUUUGGCGUGUGCACUAUUUAAAGGAUGCUAAGGCUCAUUUCUCAGCUUCCAUAUCAGAGUGUGAAACCCUAAGACAGAGCCUUCCAUCGUCCUUAGCUUGAUUGUGUGUGUGUGUUUUGGAGCUAAAAGUGUCUUGGUCUGUUAGUGAAUAAGAAGGAGAAGAGCUUGUGGAGGCUAGGGCUUGAAGUGCAAGUUUGGAUCUAGAUCUGUCCCAUUUUAGUGAUAUUUUUGUUAUAGAUCCAUAAAGUUUCCAUCUUGGUCGUUGUUAUGAGGUCAUGCUUGAGUUAUGAGCUUUCUAGAGUUGGGAAAUGGAAUGUUAUGGGUGUUAGUGACUUGUCCAGCCAUGCAAAGGCUUAAAGUCACCAACUUUAUGAAUUAAGAGGCUUAGAAAUGGUCAGAUCUAGAAGUUUGACGUGGGUCUUAACUGUUUAAGACCUCAAGAGCUUAGAGUCUGAAACUUGGAGUUACAUGGGGCGUAAUCCCAAUACGUGCGGCGUAAGGGGUCGCGCACCCCGUUUCUGUUUGAACGCCGGGUACACCCAGCGUACAUGUUUUGUACGCGCAGCGUAACCCGGAGAGUUGACGUUUGCUGACUUUUAGGGUUUGGUCAAUUUUAGUGUCUUUGAGCCAUGAGAGGGGUAAAUUGGUCUUUUACCCUUCUGAGAGUACUAAGAGAGGGAAUACUCUAGCCUUGAAAUAAUUAUUGAUUUAGAUUGUUUAUUUCGUAUUAUUAGGAAGAGGCUAGACCCGAUUUCACAGAGUUCGAGACUACCGAGUUACCCGAGGUGAGUCUUUGCACUAUACUUUGCCUAGAGUGGUAAUUAGAGUUAUGUGACAGAGUAUUUUGUAUGCUUUUGCAUUAUGUGAUUUAUGCUAUGUAUGUUACAGAGUUUAUAGAGUUAGGACCGGAAGGUCCACAGAGUUAGGGCCAGAGGGCCUACAGAGUUAUGGGACUGGAGGGUCCCACUGAGACACAUUGACCAGAGGGUCAAAUAGAGUUAUAGCCUCGAGUGGCUAGUACAUGUUGUGUGGGGUAUUUUGGGGGAAGUCACUAUGCAUUUAUGCUUACAAUGUUGUGCUAUGUGUUUCAGGUACCAGUGAGGAUCGCGGGAAGGCGUCGGCUAGAUCAGUACACACAUGAGGAGCUUUUAAAUAUUAUGAUCUUGGGAUGUGAUGUUAUGAAUUGAUUAUGUGAUACAAUGAUAUUUUUAUAACAAUUAUGAAUGAAACUAUGUUUUUAAAUGUGAAAAAUUAUUUUGAAAAUUUGGGUGUUACAAAUUGGUAUCAGAGCCUUGGUUUUAGGGAUUCGAGUGCACCUUCAGGCGUAUCUGAACUCAAACUGAGGAUUUGAGAAAUUUUUAUCACGAGUAAAAAGUUUUUGAAAGAGCAGAGCAGAGCAGUGUGUACGAUCAGCCAGCGCCCGAGCGGUGAUUUUCUAAAAUACCCUUACAUUAUGAGUUAUGAGAUAUGUUAUGAUAUGAUAUGCAUCUUUGAGUAGGCUAGGUAUUCUUAUUAGGAAUAGAGUGGCCUGAUUUGUGAUGCCUUAGCCUAGGGAUUUUGUUGCUAGGAGAUGCUUGAGAGUGAAUAGAUAGCAGCGAGGAGCUUAUGAGAGAUCUGCUAGAGAGUAGACUAUGUAUAAAGAGAGUAGGGUACUUGGGACUUGGGAUCCUAGGAGGAGGACUUGGGUGAGUUUUGAUGCGGUGUGGAUGGUAGUAUUGGGCCCGUACUACCGAAGGCACCGGAUCAGUGCGCAACCCAAGUAAGAAACUUUAGGGUACCAGGGAUCAAAUAGGAAUGGGAUAUCGAGUGUGUGUACGCUCGAGCGAGUCUCUGAUAUCUUGUGUUGUAUUUCAGAGAGAUGUCAUGGUUGGGACACGCCACAGGCCAGGAACUAGCGGGGGUGGGGGGUGAGAGCGAUGAGGAGUUCCGCCAGAUGAUUCAUGAUGAGGUGGCUGCUGCCAUCCGUGCUGAGAUUCCAGAAAUGUUCGGGUCUAUCAAGACCACACUGAUUGAGACUUUUGAUGAGCGGUAUGUUGCUCUUACUGAUGAUGCUUUUGCUGCAGCCGCUACNNNNNNNNNNNNNNNNNNNNNNCCGUUGCUGGUGCCAGGCCGCAGGGGGGUGACGCGUUGCUGUACCAGGAGUGCAGCAACAUGAAGCCACCAGAGUUUGAUGGCACUCGGGAUCUGAUUGCCGCGAUGAGAUGGAUGUCUGACAUUGAGGGGUGAUUCUACACAUGUUCAUGUCCGGAGCAUCUGAGAGUUUGGUUCGUGUUGAAGCAGCUUCGCUUGGGGGCGAAGGACUGGUGGAAGUUUGUGACAGUGCACUAUUCUUCUGCAGAGCUUGCUGCGGUGACCUGGGAGAGGUUUACCGCUAUGUUUCUUGAUGAGUACGUUCCCCCGGUGGAAAGGGAGCGUUUGGCCUAGGAUUUCUUGACCCUCAAGCAGGGUAUUGAGUCUGGUACUGUGAUCACCAGGAUGUUCCAUGAGAGGGCGAUGUUCUGCCUUGAGCAUAUGUCUACCGAGUAGGCACGUAUGAGUCGGUAUUUGAGUAUUCUGAUGAGGGAUAUACGAGAAUUCAUGGCGAACUCGACGUACCGGACGUUUGCUGAGCUUCAGGCAAAUUCCCGAAAGAGGGAGAUUGAGCCAGAGACUCGGCCAGGGAGGAGGCAGAGUCUCAAGGGAGGGAUCGAUGACCGGAACAGUCCCAGCCGGCAAGAGGGCCAAGGAGGAGGCAAAGUCUCAAGGGAGAGAUCAAGGAACCAGAAGGGCCGCACUUGUAUCAAGUGCGACAAGAGUCAUGAGGGGGUGUGCAGAGCAGGGUCUUGCUACAAGUGUGGCAAGGAGGGGCACAUGGCCAAGGAUUGCACCGAGGGGUUUGCAGUUUACUUUCACUGCAACCAAACCGGACACAGGAAGGCCGAGUGUCCGCAGUUAUGAGGGUCAGCUUAGGGAGCUUCUUAGGGAUCAGUCGCUGCUGUUGUUUGAGCUACGAAGAGUCGGCCGGUGAAAGCCGAGGCGCCGAAGGCUCGCGGGAGAGCCUUCUAGUUGACAGUGGAGGAGGUCCGCGCAUCACCCGAUGUUGUGGCUGAUAUGUAUUCUUUCAUCUGUUUAUUUUGAGUUUGUGGUGUUUAGCUUAUCUUGUGAUAUGCGUAAGUACAUUUGUUGUGUGUUAUGUACCUGCUUUGGUGUUAUUUGACUCGGGUACGAGUUGGUCUUUUAUGUCGUUAGCCUUUAGUCAGCAUAUCAGUAUUCGUCGAGAGGCAUUGAGUCGACCUUUGCGAGUUUCCAUAGCUGAUGAAAGAGCAGUGUAUGCUACUGAUGUGAUUCAAGGAUGUGUACUCGAGAUCUUCAGCUUUGAGUUUCCGAUUGAUUUGGUCCCGAUUGCUAUGGGAGAUGUCUGUUUCAUUGUAGGCAUGGACUGGUUGAGCAGAUUUGGAGCGCUUAUUGACUGCGAGCGACGGUUGGUGACCAUACGAGACCCUAGUGGGGGAGUUCUUUCGGUUUAUGGCGAGGGUAGCCGUUCUGGGUCAACAUUUUGUUCAGCCGCGAGAGCGAGACAGAGUCUACAGUAGGGCUGUAGUGGGUUUGUGGCUUAUUUGGUGGAUACGAGGGUAGGUACAGAGAGAUCGAGGUCGGUCGAUGAGGUCCCGAUAGUGCGUGAGUUCUCGGAUGUUUUCCCCGAGGAGUUUCCGGGUGUGCCUCUCGAGAGGCAAGUGGAGUUCCGUAUUGAUUUGGUUCCGGGGGCAACGCCUAUCGCCAAGGCGCCCUAUCGCCUUGCACCUCCAGAAAUGCAGGAGUUAUCCUCGUAGCUUCAGGAGCUGUUGGGAAAGGGGUUUAUAUGGCCGAGUAGCUCAUCGUGGGGAUCGCGAAUCCUUUUUUUCAAGAAAAAGGAUGGUUCGCACCGGAUGUGCAUUGAUUACCGGGAUUUGAACAAGCUGAUGGUCAACAACCGUUACCCCUUACCGAGGAUCGCCAAUUUGUUCGAUCAGUUGUAGGGAGCGUCUUGGUUCUCCAAGAUUGAUUUGAGGUCUGGAUAUUAUCAAACGAGGGUGCGUGAUGAGGAUAUCCAGAAGACAGCGUUCAUGACUCGUUACGGGCAUUACGAGUUCGUGGUGAUGCAUUUCGGGCUCACCAAUGCACCGGCGGCGUUCAUGGAUCUCAUGAACAGGGUGUGCAGGCCGAUGUUGGAUCGUUCGGUGAUCUUGUUCAUUGAUGAUAUAUUGUUGUAUUCGAGAUCCAGAGAGUAGCAUGAGGAACAUUUGAGGGAGAUCCUCGGAGUUUUGAGAUCGGAAAGGCUUUACGCCAAAUUCUCCAAGUGCAAUUUCUGGUUACGAGUGGUCCAUUUUCUAGGACACCUCAUCAACUAGAAUGGGAUAUUGGUCGAUCUGGCCAAGAUUGUGGCGGUGAUGAGUUGGGAGGUGCCGAGAUCCCCUUCGGAGAUCAGAAGUUUCAUGGGGUUUGCUGGUUAUUAUCGUAGAUUCAUCCAGGAUUUCUCCAGGAUUGUUGUUCCUUUCACCAGACUGACCCGGAAGGUCAUGACUUUCAAUUGCGGCCCAGAGCAGUAGGCCGCAUUCGAAACACUUCGCCAGAGAUUGUGCGAAGCCGCAGUGUUGGCCCUUCCGGAGGGAAUGUAGGACUUUGUGGUAUAUUGUGACGCGUCGAUAUAGGGAUUGGGUGGGGUGCUGAUGCAGAGAGGGCAUGUGAUAGCAUACGCAUUGUUAGUCCCAAAAAUAACGAUCCAAUUCAGUAAUCAAUGAAGUUAAUUGCAAUUAAGGAGAGAUGUAGAAGAAGAAGAAGUAAAAUCAAGCAUGCACACAUCUAUUAUGAAUAAAUGUCAAGUACAUCUUGAGAAAUUUAUAACUACUGCAGAGUUCUGACUCAAAGUAAAAAGUACAAGCUGACACAACUCAGUUGCUAUAAAUAGUACCCCUCCUACCAGCACAAGAGUGUGCAGCCGUACACACGUGUGCGGCUGCACACACAUGUGUGGCAGCACACAAUACAAGCUCAAAACAAACAUUGCUGCAAUACAUACUCAAACAUCCUGAGUAGAUCUAUACAAAAAUUAUGACUAGCUCAAACCACAAAAUUAUGGAAUUUCGAUCUCCCCCUUGGUUUGAGACUAGCAUAGUCUUGAAAUUCAUUCGUUUGGCUUCUCAACAGGCUUCUCAAACAACCUCAGAUCCGAUCUCCCCAUCGAUCCCAUCCAUAUUCCUCCAUUGAUGAUUGUAGCCACCAUUGUAGUGAAUUCUUUAGCAGCAGCUUCCAUGACAUCUUUUCUGCAAAUGAUUUGAUGACGACCCAGAGUUCGUAUAUCCCCUUCUCUGAAACGAAAAAGAUCUUUAGCAUUAAUCAAUCUCAAAAAAUGUUCUCGAUCCUUGAAUUUGAUAGCUGCAGUUGCAGUUUCGUCAUCAUAGGCCCAAAAUUCCAUAUCAUCCAGAUAUCCCUCAUGAAAAUGUUGAGGAAUAGGAAUUUCCUUUUGUUUCUUAGUUGCUGGCCAGAGUAUGAUCUUCAUGGGUUUGCCUGAUUCUGGAUCAAGAACAUCUUUGUCUUUUCUAUAUAGAGCUUUCGCGGUCUUCAUUGAUGGAAAGUUUUCUCUGACCUGUCUGUCGAGAAAUCUUUUGAAAUUCGAAGCACUGGGAUUUUCGGAGGGAUUAUGGAACGGGGCCCUGGAUAAUUCGGCUAGAUCAGUUUUGGUCUAAGAGUUGAAAUCAUGGGUGCUUUUGUAACAUUCAGAUGCUCCUGAUUAUCGCUUUAAAACACACACAUACGUCACUAUACAACUAACACAUACACACUCUAUUUAUAGGACCACCAGCCGUACACGUGUGUACAGCCGCAUACUUGUGUACAGCCACACACGUGUGUACAACCUCACACGUGUGUUCAGCCGCACACGUGUGUACAGCCGCACACGUGUGUACAGCCGCACACGUGUGUACAGCCGCACACGUGUUUUCAGCCGCACACGUGCAUACAGCUGCACACCAACUACAAACACCAUUACAAAUCCCAAAAACCCACCAAGACCUAUAUAAGAUGGAUGCCUAUCCCAAACCACAUAAUUAUGACCUAACAAUCUCCCCCUUGGUUUGUGACGAGCAUGAACUUAGGUCUUCUUGAUUAGUGAUCACUAUCUUGAAACUUGAUCAUUACAGUGGCUCAAGCCUCUUCGACUAUGGUCUUGAACUUGUCACCAAAUUCUACAAAAAGUUUGUUCUUCAAAUCAGAGUAGCCUGCUGAUAGCGCACCAAGAUUAAGCUGGAGAUCGGAGAUCUGUUUAGACUUCUGAAAGUUUUCUUCUUCAUGCUCGGAAACUCGAAUAUCGAGGUUUCCGAUCAGAACGUCUUUCUCAAUGAUCUUCUAUUUAAGAGUAGUGAUCUCUUCCUUGAGCUUUGAGAUAGAUGGGCCUGCUCCCCCUGAACUUCCUUCACCUAUUGAUAUUCAUUUGCCAUGAGGUAAAGGAUCCGAAUCUUGUUGAGAAAGAAACUUGGCAAGCCUCAAAGAGGCAACAUCAUGCGCAGGUUGUGGAGGAGAAGAACCCCUAGGAGCAGAAGAACUCCCUACUUCAAACAAAGAUCUAACGUUACUUGGUCCUUUUAGGGUCGAUUGAGUUGGUGCAGCAGCUGUGGAGGGUUGUUGGACUGGUGGUUCUUGAUCUUGAAUAAGCACUCCCUACCUCGGAUCGAGUCAACUUCUUGUUACAGAAGGCAGGGAGAUUUGUGUCGGUGUCGGAUCACUUGUGGAUGGCACAGAUGUAGGAAUAGCAGAAUUAAGGGGAGGAAUCCUUGAAGUUGUAUCCAUAUCGGUUGAAAGGUGUCGACCAUCUGAUCAAAAGUUGGAGACGUCACUUUGAUAACACCACUAACUCCUUCUAUCAAUGAUCAAGCAAAAAACAAUCGUAAUAGAAUAAGAAGAUGGAAACAAAUCGAGCUUGCACAUGUUUAUAUCUGAAAAAAGUCAGGUACAACUCGAUGGAACACUUUGUAAGCACUAUUUCAUCGAGGUCUUCCAUGCUUAACCUUAUAUCAUUAUCCGUAGUCUAUAAGCUCAUCUGUUAGACACUGAAUAAUCUACACUUUAACUCAGGAGCGUAGAUGACGUUCUCAAAACUCAGCACUCCAUUUACAACUAUUCCUUUUUGAGUGAUCUUCCCUCCAUCUCCUCCCGUGAAGGAAACACAACCCCCAUUAACAGUCUGAAUGACGUGCAGUUGGGAGACGUCUCCUAUCAAUGUGCCUGGAACAAGCGCUAUCGACGUACCAAGGAAUGAUGACAUUCCUCCGCAGCUGUUCUAGCACAAUGAGCGGGAUUAUUUAGAUUUGGGCACCCAGGUCAUUACAAUCCCGGGUCCCAACAACUAAGAGGGUUUACGGCCGCACAAGGGAUUAUGGCCGUACACUUGAUUACGGUUGUACACGGGUGUAUGGCCGCACACAGGAUCACAAGCAUACACACCAACUGUACACACUUAACCAUACACUCCAACCGCACACUCAACCGUACAUUCCAACCGCACACUCAACUAUACACUCCAUCCGCACACUCAACCGUACACUCCAACUGCACACUCAACCGUACACUCCAACCGCACACUCCAACCGCACACGUUCAAAAUCUCAACCGCACACCUUCAAAGUCUCAACCGUAGACCUUCAAAGUCUCAACCGCACACCUUCAAAGUCUCAACCGCACACCUUCAAAGUUCCAGCCGCACACCCAAAAAUACUCAAAAAAGCCACAACUAUCUUCAACCGCACACUCUUAUGAUUCUUCAAAUUGACACUGAAUUGGCUCUGAUACCAAUUGUUAGUCCCAAAACAAAGGAUCCAGUUCAGUAAUCAAUGAAGUUAAUUUCCAUUAAGGAGAGAUGUAGAAGAAGAAGUAAAAUCCAACAUGCACACAUCUAUUACGAAUAAAUGUCAGGUACACCUUGGGAAAAUACACACAUACGUCACUAUACAACUGACACAGACACACUCUAUUUAUAGGACCACCAGUCGUACACGUGUGUAUAGCCGCACACAUGUGUACAGCCACACACGUGUGUACAACCGCACAGGUGUGUUCAACCGCACACAUGUGUACAUCCGCACACGCGUGUACAGUCGCACACGCGUGUACAGCUGCACACGUGUGUACAGCCACACACCAACUACAAACACCAUUACAAAUCACAAAAACCCACCAAGACCUAUUUAAGAUGGAUGCCUAGCCCAAACAACAUAAUUAUGACCUAACACGCAUCUAGGCAGCUGAAGCCUCAUGAGACGAGGUAUCCUACUCACGAUCUGGAGUAGGGGGUUGUGGUGUUCGCACUCUAGAUCUGGCGUCACUAUUUGUAUGGGGUUCGGUGUACCAUAUACACGGACCACAAGAGCUUGAAGUAUAUGAUGGAUCAGCCCAACCUAAAAAAGUGUCAGAGGAGAUGGUUGGACUGGUAAAGGAUUAUGAGUGUGAGAUCCUAUACCACCCGAGCAAGGCUAACGUGGCAACCGAUGCCUUAAGUCGCAGGGUGGAGAGUGCCCCUUUGCGAGAUGUUUGUCUGAGGUUGACAAUGAUGACUCCGGUGUUGGACACCAUUCGGGAGGCUCAGGUAGAGGCCAUGAGACCGGAGAACCGUAAGCGAGAGCGGGUGAUCAGAUAGAUAUCUGAGUUCAUUGCCGAUAGUCGGGGGCUUAUGACCUUCCAGGGCCGGAUUUGGGUGCCAUUUGAGGGCAGCGCACGUGCCAUUUUGAUGGAGGAGGCGCACAGGUCGAGGUUUUCGACCCAUCCUGGGGCCACUAAAAUGUAUUUGGACCUGAAAAGAGACUAUUGGUGGCCCUGUAUGAAGAGUGAUGUGGCGUGGUUUGUAGAGAGGUGCUUGACCUGUCGCAGGGUUAAGGCGAAGCACUAGUGUCCACAUGGCAUGUUGGAGCCGCUUGAGGUUCCCUAGUGGAAGUGGGAACAAAUUUCCAUGGAUUUUAUCACCAAAUUGUCGAGGACUGCGAGAGGCAUCGAUGUGCGUUUCACUUCCAGGUUCUUGAAGAAGUUCCAUGAGGAGUUGGGUACUAGGUUGCAUUUCAAUACCGCUUACCACCCACAGACGGAUGGACAGAGUGAGAGGACGCUUCAGAUGCUCGAGGACAUGCUUCGGUCAUGUGUGUUGGACUUCGGAGGGAGUUGGGACACGUAUCUGCCUUUGGCUGAGUUUUCCUAUAACAACAUCCACCAUUCCAGCAUUGGUAUACCUCCCUUUGAGUUGUUGUAUGGGAGGAGGUGUCAGAAUCCCAUCCGUUGGGGAGAGGUAGGGCAGCGAGUGAUGGGCAGCACUGAGAUAGUGCUUCAGACGAUAGAGCAGAUACAUCAGGUUAGACAGAGGUUGUUGACGGCCCAGAGUCGCUAGAAGAGUUACGCGGAUAAGCGUCCAUCCGAGCUCGAGUUUCAGGUUGGAGAUUUUGUACUCUUGAAAGUGUCUCCUUAGAAAGGAGUGAUUCAAUUCAGGGAAAGGGGAAAGUUGGGGCCCCGGUACAUUGGCCCGUUUAGGGUGAUCGCGAGGGUGGGCAGGGUAGCAUAUCGAUUGGAGCUACCUGCGGAGUUGAGCCAGAUUCAUGAUACCUUCCACAUGUCUCAGCUGAGGAAGUGUAUAGCCGACGAGUCGGCAGUGGUGCUAUUGGAGGAUAUCCAGGUGAACGCAUGGCUAAAUUAUGUUGAGAGACCGAUCGUGAUCUUGGAUCGGAAGGUUGAAGUUCGGGGGAACAAGGAGGUGCCUCUGGUUCAGGUCCAGUGGCAGCAUCGGAGGGGGUUCGAGCUGACUUGGGAGAUGGAGUCAGAGAUGUGAGAUCAGCAUCCAAAGUUGUUUUCGGCAUGAAACUUCGAGGGCGAUGUCUGGUUCUAGUGGGGGAGAAUUGUAACAUCCCGAAUUUAAUGUAAAGCUAUUUAACCCUUCCAUCUUGUCAAGUUGUCAAGAUUGGUCCCUUCAGAGAGUUCUUGUAGCAGAUGAGUACGUUGGGUGUACUCAUGUGCUUAAUUUGGACACAAACUAGCCUGGGUACGUUGGGCGUACCCAGGGUUAUGCUGGGUGUAACGGGUCCAGAUGCAAACCCUAAAUGUUUGGUUUGUGCACUAUUUAAAGGCAGCUAAGGCUCAUUUCUCAGCCUCCAUAUCAGAGAGUGAAACCCUAAGAGAGAGCCUUCCAUCGUCCUUAGCUUGAGUGUGUGUGUUUUGGAGCUAAAAGUGUCUUGGUGUGUUAGUGAAGAAGAAAGAGAAGAGCUUGUGGAGGCUAGGGCUUGAAGUGCAAGUUUGGAUCUGAGAUCUAUAGAGAAAGGAGCUUCAACCAGAGGUAUAAAGUUCAAAACUUUCCUCUUUAUUUUGUUUGAUGUUGCAUCGACCAUUUCUAGUGGUAAGAUUCCCAAAGGUGGAGACUUUAUGAGUGUAAUGUACUCCAUGGACCUAGAUCUGUCCCAUUUCAGUGAUAUUUGUGUUAUAGAUCCAUAAAGUUUCCAUCUUGGUUGUUGUUAUGAGGUCAUGCUUGAGUUAUGAGCUUUCUAGAGUUGGGAAAUAUAAUGUUAUGGGUGUUAGUGACUUGUCCAGCCAUGCAAAGGCUUAAAGUUACGAACUUUGUGGAUUAAGAGGCUUAGAAAUGGUCAGAUCUAGAAGUUGGACGUGCGUCUUAACUGUUUAAGACUUCAAGAGCUUAGAGUCCGAAACUGGGAGUUACGCGGGGCGUAAUCCUAGUACCCGCGGCGUAAGGGGUCGCGCACCCCGUUUCUGUGAGGACGUCGGGUACGCCUAACGUGUUAGGUUUUGAGCAUUCUAACACUUCCUAAGUGUACAUGAAACCCUAAUAAACCUGGAUCUAUUUUUGUCUAACGUACAUGCAAAAUAUUAUUUUCCAAGGUUUAUAACCUAUCUAGCAUGGCAUGGGGUACUUUUAAACAUAAAAAGACUAGAUGAAUUACAUACCUUUUGUUGAUUGUUGAUUCCUUGGAGUUUGAGAGCCAAGCACCAAUAAUGUGAAUGCCUCAAAUGGAAAUCACAAAUCACCACAAAUUUGGAAAAUGUAUGAGAGAGUAUACUAACACUUAGAAAUCGGCCACCACUGUUACACACACACUAGUGCUUUUUUCAUGCAACAUAAGCUUGUUUAUAUAGUGUGCAUGGUUAGGGUGAAACCCUAAUAACCCAUGUCUUUUCCUUUCCAAGGAUCCAUGGGUUAAAAGCUCCAUGGAUCAUCCAUGGACUUCCAUAUAAGCUUAUCCCAUUAACAAAUGAGUAUUAGCCCACACCAUAUAAAUAUAAUAGCCCAUGAUUUAAUUAGUCUUCCUUUGAAUCACUAAAUUAAUUCUUAAUUAACUCAAGAUUAAAACUAAUUAAAUAACAACACUUUAUAUUAAAAUAUUAUAACUUAUAAUACAUUAAUAAAUCGUAAGUAUACAAUUCUCAUAAAAUUAUCCAUAAAUAAUUUGGGUGAAGUGCAACCCAAAUGGACCAUGUCGUGUCGGGUCAAGUAUAUAUCAAAUAAGUUAUGGACUUAGAGACCUUAUCCAACAGACUCCCAUUUGGAUAAGCCUAAUAACUGUAUUUUCCUAUAUUACUUCAGGAACCAACCAACUAUCGUAGCUCUCGAAAACUCUGUUGAACUAUGAAGCGCCAUUUUAGAUAAGUGAUCAUCUAGUUCUCUAUUCUCAUGGUAUCAGCCAGAAAAAUACAUGGAACAAUGUCUUACAUAUUGUCUGGCAGUUGUUUCUUGAUUUCCGAUUUGUUUGACAAAGAACUUAAUUGAACACAUCAAUUUAGUUCUGACCGGGCCCAUUACAUGGGUCAAUAAAAAAUCAUUGAGGGUCCCAGAUAUCGCUUCUAUUUCUAGAAGGAAUAGAUAAACUUCGACUCAUAUGCUUGUUCUACUACUUGUUGAAUUAUACACAGAGGCAUAUUUUAUAACAUCAAGUUACUGAUGCGUUUAUGUGCAAUCAAUGCACAACCAACUCAUAGGUAACAACUCAUAUCUCUAGGUUUGAAGACUUAUAUGAUAUUAUCGUCUCACGAUCACUCGAGAUAAAUUCCAUGAAGUGAUACAAGUGAGCAUGGGUUUAUUACAAUACUCAUAGCUUAUGAGCACUCAUGAACGUUGUAGCAACCAUUUCUAUGUCUAAACACCUUUAGCCAUCUACAAACCCAAUUCAUGACAAUCAUGAUUCAUACCUACUUCCGAUGUAUGAACGAUUGUGGAGGUUUGAAUAAAUUAAUUAUUCUGGAAGUCAAAACAUGCAAAACUGAAACAAUAGUAAAUAAUUGACAAUGAUAGCAACACUUUACUCAUAAAUAAAUCACAAAUUUUAUUCAUCAUCAAACGUCGAUUACAUUUUACAAGUUUCAGAAAGGCUAUCUAAUCUGUAAAACUAAUAUCGUCCGUCUGCCCGAUGCGCCUCGCAUGUUGUAAAUGCUUAACCCUCAUCAGUCCCUUCGUAAGGGGAUCUGCAAGGUUCUCAUCUGACCAUACCCUCUUUUCCACGAGGAGUCCUUCUUCUAUCUUGUGUCUUAUGAAGUGAUAUUUUCUGUUAAUGUGUCGGGAUCUGCCAUGAUCUCUUGGUUCCUUGGCUAAGGCAACCGCAAUAUUGCUGUCACAGAAAAUCUCCAUAGGCUCCUUAAUAGCUAGUACAACUCUAAGGUCUCCGAUGAAGUUCUUCAACCAUAUCGCCUCCUUCGUUGCUUCAGUCGCUGCUAUAUACUCUGAUUCACAAGUCGAAUCAGCAACUGUCUCCUGCUUGGAACACUUCCAAGAGAUUGCCCCUCCAUUUAGGGUAAAGACCCAGCCUGACUCAGAGCGGAAGUUAUCCCUAUUAGUCUGAAAACUAGCAUCACUAUAACCCAAUACUCUCAAUUCAUCACUCCCACCAAGGGUAAGGAUCCAAUCCUUAGUCCUCCGCAGGUACUUGAGAAUGUUCUUUACCACGGUCCAAUGAGCCUUGCCAGGGUUCCCUUGAUAUCUGCUGACCAUGCUCAAAGCAAAAGCCAUAUCAGGGCGGGUACAAGUCAUAGCAUACAUGAUCGAGCCCACAGCGCAUGCAUACAGUAAUCGACUCAUCUCUGCUAUCUCGGCCUCUGUACUCGGACUCUGAGUCUUACUCAGUAUGGCAUUGCUUUUGAUCAGUAAAUCUCAUUUCUUGGAAUUCUGCAUGUUGAAUCUUUUCAACACCUUAUCCAAGUAGGUACUUUGCCUAAUUCCAAUUAGUCUUUUACUCGUCUCUCUUAAUAUCCUUAUCCCUAGGACAUAGGCUGCUUCCCCUAGGUCCUUCAUAGCAAAGCACUUCCCAAGCCAGGACUUAACUUCCUGUAAGGUUGGGAUGUCAUUUCCAAUAAGUAGUAUGUCAUCUACAUACAAUACUAGGAAGCUAACUAUACUCCCACUAGCUCUUACAUACAUGCAAGACUCAUCUUCACUUCUCAAGAAGCCAAACUCUUUGACGUUUUCAUCGAAACAAACAUUCCAGCUACGAGAUGCUUGUUUUAAUCCAUAAAGGGAUUUCUCAAGCUUGCACACUCUAUUAGGGUAUUCUGCACUGACAAAACCCUUUGGCUGAUUCAUGUACACAUCCUCAGCCAACUUUCCAUUAAGAAAAGCGACUUUGAUAUCCAUUUGCCAUAUUUCAUAAUCAUGAAAUGCAGCAAUGGCUAGCAUAACCCUAAUAGACUUAAUCUUUGCUACCGGUAAGAAUCUUUCAUCAUAAUCAAUAACUUGAGUUUGAGUAAAACCCUUCGCAACCAGUCGAGCCUUAUAAGUGUGCACUUUUCCUUCCAUGUCGGUCUUCUUCUUGAAGAUCCAUUUGCACCCGACUGUUUUACGGCAUGGUACAUUCUCAACCAAGUUCCAAACUUGAUUGUCAAACAUGGACUGUAUCUCGCUGUCGAUAGCCUCCUUCCAUUUUACAGACUCCGAACCUGCCAUGGCUUCCUUAACACUGUUAGGUUCAUCCAAAUUUACUAGUGUACUAUCGCUGAUAAAUGUAUCACCUUCCGUAGUAAUAUGAAAACCAUAAUAAAACUAAGGUGUGUUCCUAACCUAUGUGAAACGCCUCGGAUGUACCGACUCGUCAGCUGGUUCAAUAGGAGUUUCCUCCUCAGGUUCAUUGCUAGUGUCUGAGGUUCCUUCACCAAUUGAUUCUUGAAUUUCCUCAAGGUCAAUUUGCCUCCUACUGUCUCAUUUGCUCAUAAAUUAUGUCUCACGAAAGACCCCUCUUCUUGCUACAAAGACCACAUUCUCACCGGGUCUAUAGAAGAGGUAACCGAAGGAUUUCUGUGGGUAGCCGAUGAAAAUACACCUUUUACUUCGGGGUUCGAGCUUAUCAUGAGUCUCACGUCUCAUGAAAUCAUUGCAACCCCAAAUCUUGAUGCGGUCCAAAUUGGGAACCUUCCCGGUCCACAUCUCAUGAGGUGUUUUGGUAACCUCCUUUGUAGGGACUAGAUGAAGGAUAUGGGUGGCAGUCUCUAAGACAUACACCUAAAAAGAGAUUGGUAGCGAAGCUCGACUCAUCAUAGAGCGAACCAUGUCUAAGAAAGUUCGAUUACGCCUCUCAGCUACACCAUUCAGCUUUGGUGUCUUGGGAGGAUUCAAUUGCGAGACAAUCCUAAACUCCUUAAGAUAGUCAAGGAACUCGUUACUAAGAUACUCACCACCUCGAUCGGAUCGAAGCAUCUUAAUGUUCCUGCCCAAUUGAUUUUCUACUUGCUGCUCUAAUUCCUUAAACCUUUCAAAGGUUUCUGACUUAUGUUUGAUCAAGUAGACAUAACCAUAUCCACUAAAAUCAUCAAUGAAGGUCACCUAAUACCGAUUAGCAUCCUUUGUGGUAGUCUUGAAUGGUCCACACACAUCAGUAUGUAUUAGGUCCAACAAACCCUCACCCCUUUCACAAGUACCAGUGAAGGGUGAUUUUUUCAUCUUUCCAAGUAGACAAGAUUCACAACUAUCAUCCAAUUUAAGGUCGAAUGAUUCCAAGACUCCACUCUUUUGGAGUUGGCCUAUGUGUUUCUUGUUUACAUGUCCAAGACAACAUUGCCAUAAUGAUGCUUUAUCAAGGCUAGUAGAAGAAUCAAUAUACAAUACAUUAUUUCCUAAGUUGUCUACAACCAACACAGUUUCAUACACACCAUCAUAAGGUAAUGCUUUAAAAUAAAACACAUUAUUAAAGAAAGCAUUAAUACCACCACAUUCAUUAUCAAACAAAAAGGUAAAACCUUGUUUGUACAAACCAUUAAAGGAAAUAAUAUUUCUCGCCAUUUCAGAUGAGUACACACAUUUAUUCAAAUCUAAUUUUAACCCAUUAUUCAGCAACAAAGUAUAAACUCCAAUCUUGGAAACAGGUGAAGCCUUCCUAUUCCCCAUGAUCAAGUUUAUCUUUCCAUGCUCCACAUCCUAACUUCUUCUUAGGCCUUGCAAAUUCGAACAUAUGUGAAUACCACAUCCUGUAUCAAACACCCAAGAGCUAGAAUAUGGUGAGUUAUUAGACAAUAUUGUGUAAAUACCUGCAUGGGUGCGUUUCACUUUCCCAUCGUUUAGAUCAUGCAAGUACUUUGGGCAGUUUUGCUUCCAAUGCCCCUUGUCCUGGCAAUAGUAGCAAUCAGCAUCCUUGGGAAUGGCAGAAGGAGUGAAAGAACCAUUCUUGGUCCUUGAUGAGGAGCCUUCAAGAGACUUUCCCUUGGUACCCUUCGAAGGGGACUUCCUCUUUUUCCCUUUGCCUUGCCUGAUAGCCAAAACAGGGGUAGAUGUUGGAGUAGGAGUAGUAGAGAUAACAACCAACUUGCCCUUAAGACCGGUUUCAGCGGUCUUCAAGAGUCCUUGAUGUUUGCUAAGAGUAACUUCCUCCUUGAUCAUAUGAUAUGUCAUACAAAAUUGGUCAUAACAAAAUGGUAAGGAGUGAAAAAUGAUGUUAAUUGCCAACUCCUCAGGGAAGUUCACAUUCAGCUUGAGCAAACGGUCCACAUACCUCUGCAUCUUUUGCAUGUCGCCCGUGAUGGAUUCACCAUCCUUCAUGCGGGUUUUUAUAAUGGGGGAGAUUAUUUCAUACCGCUCCUAACGAGCACUCUGAUAGUACCUUUCCAUCAGAUCUUGGUGCAUCUCAAAAGGGUAGAAGUCCUCAUAGGACUUUUGGAGCUCGGCGGUCAUCGUGUCCAUCAUGAUGCAUGCCACCUUAGUAGAAUCUCUCUCAUGUGUCUUGAAUUCAACGAUCUCCUCAGGAGUAUCAGUGGACUCAUCAAGCUCCUUUAACUCCUUAUCAAGGACAUAUUCCUUGUCCUUAUAACAAGUAACCAUCCUGGCGUUCCUAAUCCAGUCCAUGAAGCUAGAACAAUCAAAGAUGACUCUCCCACAAAGAUUCAUGAGAGAGAAAGAGCCAGUUGGGUUAGAGACCGAAGAAUUAGUGUUGGAAGACAUCUGAAAGAAGAAAUCAAGUUUAGAUUAGAUAUAUAAAGUCCUUAAAAAGACACCCAAAUGUAAUAUUAAGGCUAGGAUCCAAUCACAAUAUAUUAUACUUAGAAGAGGGAUGUCGUAAUCUAAGUAAUAACAUAUUUGAAAGGUAGGUGAAUGACGAUUCACCAAUUUCCACCAUGAAAAACGAAAUGAAUUAUUAGGUUUUAAUUGGAUUUGAAAUUCCUAGAUUCUUUUGAGAUUCAUUGAACUCUUCAAUGGCAUGUUUCAAUCUCGAUUGUGCCCUUCAAGUUUUGUGACUCGGAUGCCGAGGAUCACAAAACAAGGUGUGAAUAACCAUACUAAUUCACUUGGUACCCUUAAUAUUAUCACCUAAUCAAUGUUCCGGUUAACCACACACGCUCCAUUGAUCUAUGACAAACAUUAAGUCACCCUUCGUGAUCCUUACUAGUCCAAGUUAGUGUGCCGGUUAACCACACACGCUCCACCAACGACUUGGUAAGGUACAAAGUGUGAAUUCCAUGGACUAGCACCAUGUUCACAUUUUUCCUAAAGUAACUAAGAUUGGGAAUUAAAAUGUUUAGUUACUUUAUAAUAAUCAUUAUACUUUUAAUGAGGAUUUAAAGUCAUUGUCCUACCCGUUCGGCUAACGACCCUCCACCAGUCAAGCAAGCGGUGGGUGAGAGUGGACACCCAUUAAGUCGCCAUUUUAUAGGCAACAACCUUAUACCCACCUUAUAGACCGGCUUCGUGAAUGAGGCCUACUAACGGUAGAACGACUUAUUCUUAUACAUAUAUAUAAUAAUUAACCAUUAAUGUUAUAAAUAGUAUAAGGGUUGAAUUUUAACUAUUAAAACUCUAAGGGUUGGAAUUAAAGUUUAUUAAAGUGUGUGAAACUUUACAAAUUCCAAAACUUGAGGGCAAGUUUUGUAACUAUCCAAAACUUUUCAUUUCAUAACUUAUGAAUUAAAGGUUCAUAAAAAUGAAGACUCUUCAUUUU
rnacentral:lncRNA from 1 species